UUUCCGUAGGUGAACCUGCGGAAGGAUCAUUAUCGUACAAUGUGUGAUGGGCAUGCGAGGGCUGUCGCUGACCCACAAGUCGUGAACGCCCGAGUGUGUGCUUUUGGAUAAUAAUCCAUCUCACCCUUUGUGCAUCAGCGUGUGGGCACCCCUCGGGAUCAUCUUGGUGGGUGGCUCGGGUUGUAACACAACUAGCCCCUUUAUAAGUGUAGAAUGACCAAACUAAUGCUAGCAAUACAACUUUCAACAACGCAGCUCUUCGCUCUCGCAUCGGAGAAG
rnacentral:misc_RNA from 1 species